rnacentral:rRNA from 1 species
CUCCUGGAAACGGGUGGUAAUGCCGGAUGUUCCACAUGAUCGCAUGUGAUUGUGGGAAAGAUUCUAUCGGCGUGGGAUGGGGUCGCGUCCUAUCAGCUUGUUGGUGAGGUAACGGCUCACCAAGGCUUCGACGGGUAGCCGGCCUGAGAGGGCGACCGGCCACAUUGGGACUGAGAUACGGCCCAGACUCCUACGGGAGGCAGCAGUGGGGAAUAUUGCACAAUGGGCGCAAGCCUGAUGCAGCGACGCCGCGUGAGGGAUGGAGGCCUUCGGGUUGUAAACCUCUUUUGUUUGGGAGCAAGCCUUCGGGUGAGUGUACCUUUCGAAUAAGCGCCGGCUAACUACGUGCCAGCAGCCGCGGUAAUACGUAGGGCGCAAGCGUUAUCCGGAUUUAUUGGGCGUAAAGGGCUCGUAGGCGGCUCGUCGCGUCCGGUGUGAAAGUCCAUCGCUUAACGGUGGAUCUGCGCCGGGUACGGGCGGGCUGGAGUGCGGUAGGGGAGACUGGAAUUCCCGGUGUAACGGUGGAAUGUGUAGAUAUCGGGAAGAACACCA